ensembl:lncRNA meiotic kinetochore factor
AUGAUGAUUUGGGUGACACUUUUGGAAAGGGGAAAUUUUUACUCCAUGGACCUUGGCAAGUACAAGAACUCUACUCUCCUGGACUCCAGCAAAGCAGUGACCAUAGAUAAGAUACCACAGAUCUCAAAUCUUUCAGCAAUAUUAGAACCUGUACCAGAGGAUUUUCCAGACCGAUGCAUGCCAAGAAAGAGAUCAUCAAAUUGCUGUUACAGUUCUUCAGCAGGAAGCAUUUCAACUGCACUGGCAGGAAAAAACCUCUGUAAAAUAACAGCUGCAAGAGAGAGAACUCCAGACCUAAAAAGUGGUAUGCACUGUUCUUCACCAUUAGGACCGGAAAGCAAGCACCAUAAACAAACAGCUAAAGGCAAAAGGCGGAAGAAAGGAAAAAGCAGUUUUGAUUCCUUAGAAGACGGUUCAUCAUUGUUUAGGCAGCUUGAUGCUCCAGAAGACACGUCAGUCAGAUCAAAGGGGUUGACAGCAGAAGUUCUGCCAACCAAAUGCACAGAUGCUGUGGAGCAAAUGACUUCCACCAUGCUAAUCAUGGAGGAAAACAAAGUCCUAAAAAAUCCUGGUAAUGCUCAGCCUCUAGAGCUAGAUUUUAGCUUGUCGCCGGUGUAUAAAGCCUCACCUGGGGAAGACCUGUUCCUGAAUACCACAGGUCCAUUUGUAAAUUCAGAAGAAAUUCGUCCUGUGUCUCUGAGCUCAGAAAAAGAAAUUAUUCCUCAAAGUCCAGAAGAAAAGAAUAUUUUAAAGCCUCUGUGUGACAGACAAGAAAUCUGCUCAAUUGUUAGAAUGUCACCAGGCCAGAGGCCUUCCCAGCUCCAGCAAGUUCCAAUUAACUGGAAAGAGUUCUGCCUUCCCAAAGGAGUACCUGAAGAUACUAUUACAAGUACCAAAAAUUGGAUCUACUGUAAACAAAGAUGAGAUUUUUGGCUCUCAGCAGGAGUUCACAGAAGAAAUAACCAUCUUGCUGCUGUGGCAAGGUGGUAAAACAAAACUCCUAACUAGUGAAUAAUGGUUGUAAUUUUUUUUAUGUAUGUUGUUUGAAAUUUAGUAUUACGUGUUUCAGUAAGCUAGUAAAUACUCAAAUACUUUAUAUUAAAUUAUUUUGUACAGCAGCUAGAUCCUGUUCUGGGCAUUAUCCUGUAAGGAUUCCAUAAAGAUGAUUCUUCAGUUUGUUUUGAUUUUUAAAAAGUGUGACUGAAGACCAGCAGACCAAAUUGCUUUAAUAGAAUUACUUUUGUCUCUCUCUCUGCCAAGAUUUCUCGUUUCCUCUAGUAGCAUUAGCAUCUACAGAUGUUAACUCUUUAAGUGUUAAUAUGGGUUAUGAAGGUAGCUGCAUAUUCUGGAAGUGACUAUAAAAGCAUUCAUGUACUCUAAUGGUGACAUACACAUUGACUUCUGGGUCCCCAAAACUCCUUGAAUGCUUAGAUCUACAGAACUUUGAAGGUACAGAACUGUGUGUUCUGCUGUAAUUUGAUUUCUGAACAUGAAUGCAGGUCACCUUCACCCCAUCAUCACUCUGAAUUGGCUCCUAAUGGUCAGCACUGUCACCAUUCUGGGCACAUCCACUGCCCAGCCAUUACCAUUUCAGAGUCCUUCCUGUUUCAUCUCAGGUAUGUUGUAGUACCACAUCUCGUGGUCAUUGUUUCUUCUAGUGGCUUCAGAUAAAGUAAAUGCCUUACAUGAAUGCCCACAAUGGUGGGAAAAAUCCUUUUAUAGCUGAACUGUUUGAAGAGAUGGAUAUUGACAUUCUGGAAUUUCAGGUUACUGCUCACACUGUGUCUGCACAAGUCAAAUUCACAGAGCUUCCUGUUCAGCUUGUGGAUUGUUAAUUCAUAAAUGUUGUUCUUAAUGUGCUGAAUGUCUCAGAAAACAUUGUCAAGAACAUAUUUUUUUCCACUAGAAUUCAUUGCACAUUAAAGUAAUUUGGACUCCUACGGUGUUCUUACUACAAUCGUUUACUCAGAUUUUAUCUGAACAAAAAAAAUUUUUCAAUGUUUCAGAAUGCUGGUAUGGCUUCCAAAAGUCUGAGUUUGUUUCUCAGUGUUAUCACCCUGGAAAAUAAUUUUGUAUUUCCAAAAAGAGCAUGACAAGAAGACAUACAAAAUCCACAACUGUAGUUUGCAUUUGAAAAUACCUGUGAAAGUUCAAACCCUGAUCUUUUCUCCAUUGCUCUGGGGUAGAAGGAAGUGCAAAUAAUUGCUGCUGGAUUAGUUUGUGAACAAGUAUUAUAUAAACAUUCUAAAUGGCUCACAGUAAAAAAUUAUGCCAUUAAGCUAUUUUUCUUUCAAGCAUUAGUAGAAUGAGUUCUGCCAAUAACUCCUUGGAGUCCUGUCAGGUAUGCUUUUAAUUAUCAAUAUCCUUGUUCUUGCAAGUCUACUAAAGUCACUAGUAAUUAUGCGAGAAUCUAGAGCCCCUAGGAGACAGAGGUGAGCUCCUUGAUGUAGCUUUAAGCAAAAUUGAAGGUUACAUAUUUAGUAAGUUGUGCUUAUGAUGAUUAUUCAAGUAAAAGAUGGACCAGAAUAAAGAUAUGUUUAUUGUAAGGGUAUUCUGGAAG